AUUGAACGCUGGCGGCAGGCCUAACACAUGCAAGUCGAGCGGAUGAAGGGAGCUUGCUCCUGGAUUCAGCGGCGGACGGGUGAGUAAUGCCUAGGAAUCUGCCUGGUAGUGGGGGAUAACGUCCGGAAACGGGCGCUAAUACCGCAUACGUCCUGAGGUAGAAAGUGGGGGAUCUUCGGACCUCACGCUAUCAGAUGAGCCUAGGUCGGAUUAGCUAGUUGGUGGGGUAAAGGCCUACCAAGGCGACGAUCCGUAACUGGUCUGAGAGGAUGAUCAGUCACACUGGAACUGAGACACGGUCCAGACUCCUACGGGAGGCAGCAGUGGGGAAUAUUGGACAAUGGGCGAAAGCCUGAUGCAGCAAUGCCGCGUGUGUGAAGAAGGUCUUCGGAUUGUAAAGCACUUUAAGUUGGGAGGAAGGACAGUAAGUUAAUACCUUGCUGUUUUGACGUUACCAACAGAAUAAGCACCGGCUAACUUCGUG
rnacentral:rRNA from 1 species